AGAGUUUGAUCAUGGCUCAGGAUGAACGCCGGCGGUGUGCCUAAUACAUGCAAGUCGUACGCACUGGCCCAACUGAUUGAUGGUGCUUGCACCUGAUUGACGAUGGAUCACCAGUGAGUGGCGGACGGGUGAGUAACACGUAGGUAACCUGCCCCGGAGCGGGGGAUAACAUUUGGAAACAGAUGCUAAUACCGCAUAACAACAAAAGCCACAUGGCUUUUGUUUGAAAGAUGGCUUUGGCUAUCACUCCGGGAUGGACCUGCGGUGCAUUAGCUAGUUGGUAAGGUAACGGCUUACCAAGGCGAUGAUGCAUAGCCGAGUUGAGAGACUGAUCGGCCACAAUGGAACUGAGACACGGUCCAUACUCCUACGGGAGGCAGCAGUAGGGAAUCUUCCACAAUGGGCGCAAGCCUGAUGGAGCAACACCGCGUGAGUGAAGAAGGGUUUCGGCUCGUAAAGCUCUGUUGUUGGAGAAGGACGUGCGUGAGAGUAACUGUUCACGCAGUGACGGUAUCCAACCAGAAAGUCACGGCUAACUACGUGCCAGCAGCCGCGGUAAUACGUAGGUGGCAAGCGUUAUCCGGAUUUAUUGGGCGUAAAGCGAGCGCAGGCGGUUGCUUAGGUCUGAUGUGAAAGCCUUCGGCUUAACCGAAGAAGUGCAUCGGAAACCGGGCAACUUGAGUGCAGAAGAGGACAGUGGAACUCCAUGUGUAGCGGUGGAAUGCGUAGAUAUAUGGAAGAACACCAGUGGCGAAGGCGGCUGUCUGGUCUGCAACUGACGCUGAGGCUCGAAAGCAUGGGUAGCGAACAGGAUUAGAUACCCUGGUAGUCCAUGCCGUAAACGAUGAGUGCUAGGUGUUGGAGGGUUUCCGCCCUUCAGUGCCGGAGCU
rnacentral:rRNA from 1 species